rnacentral:rRNA from 1 species
AUUGAACGCUGGCGGCGUGCCUAAUACAUGCAAGUAGGACGCAGUUGCGAACGGGUGAGUAACGCGUAGGUAACUACCUAUUAGAGGGGGAUAACUAUUGGAAACGAUAGCUAAUACCGCAUACUAGUAGAUGGACCUACGUUGUAUUGGCUAGUAGGUAGGGUAAUGGCCUACCUAGGCAACGAUACAUAGCCGACCUGAGAGGGUGGUCGGCCCACCUGGGACUGAGACACUGCCCAGACUCCUACGGGAGGCAGCAGGAGGGAAUCUUCGGCAAUGGGGGGAACCCUGACCGAGCAACGCCGCGGGAGUGAAGAAGGUUUUCGGGUCUUAAAGCUCUGUUGUUAAGGAAGCGGUACUUAACCAGAAAGGGACGGCUAACUACGUGCCAGCCGCCGCGGUAAUUC